AACGAACGCUGGCGGCAUGCCUAACACAUGCAAGUCGAACGAGACUUCGGUCUAGUGGCGGACGGGUGAGUAACGCGUAGGAACCUGCCAAGCAGUGGGGAAUAACAGCUGGAAACGGCUGCUAAUACCGCAUACGCCCUUCGUGGGAAAGAUUAUCGCUGUUUGAGGGUCCUGCGUUCGAUUAGCUAGUUGGUGAGGUAACGGCCCACCAAGGCGACGAUCGAUAGCUGGUCUGAGAGGAUGAUCAGCCACACUGGGACUGAGACACGGCCCAGACUCCUACGGGAGGCAGCAGUGGGGAAUAUUGGACAAUGGGGAAACCCUGAUCCAGCAAUGCCGCGUGCGUGAAGAAGGCCUUAGGGUUGUAAAGCGCUUUCACCUGUGAUGAUGAUGACAGUAGCAGGAGAAGAAGCCCCGGCUAACUCCGUG
rnacentral:rRNA from 1 species